UGGAAUCGCUAGUAAUCGCGGAUCAGAAUGCCGCGGUGAAUACGUUCCCGGGUCUUGUACACACCGCCCGUCACACCAUGGAAGUUGGGGGUGCCCAAGGCCGGCAAGCAAAUAUGCUGUCUAAGGCAAAACCAAUGACUGGGGUGAAGUCGUAACAAGGUAAC
rnacentral:rRNA from 1 species